UGCUUAACACAUGCAAGUCGAACGGUCUUUUCGGAGAUAGUGGCGGACGGGUGAGUAACGCGUAAGAAUCUACCUUCAGGUUGGGGACAACCACUGGAAACGGUGGCUAAUACCGAAUGUGCCGAGAGGUGAAAGGCUUGCUGCCUGAAGAAGAGCUUGCGUCUGAUUAGCUAGUUGGUGGGGUAAGAGCCUACCAAGGCGACGAUCAGUAGCUGGUCUGAGAGGAUGAUCAGCCACACUGGGACUGAGACACGGCCCAGACUCCUACGGGAGGCAGCAGUGGGGAAUUUUCCGCAAUGGGCGAAAGCCUGACGGAGCAAUACCGCGUGAGGGAGGAAGGCUCUUGGGUUGUAAACCUCUUUUCUCAGGGAAGAAGAAAGUGACGGUACCUGAGGAAUAAGCAUCGGCUAACUCCGUGCCAGCAGCCGCGGUAAUACGGAGGAUGCAAGCGUUAUCCGGAAUGAUUGGGCGUAAAGGGUCCGCAGGUGGCAUUGUAAGUCUGCUGUUAAAGAGUCACGCUCAACGUGAU
rnacentral:rRNA from 1 species